rnacentral:lncRNA from 1 species
CUUUUUGGCUGAGGGGUUUGUCUGCCAAAAGCUUCUAAAGUGUAUCCUUACUUUCAAGUUUUAGCACCAAGUUCUAGUUGAUUAACCAUUCUAGGUAAGCACUUAUUCUAAGCAAGCAUGGUGAAACAAGCAAAUUAAUCAAGUAUCCAUAUUAAUCAUCAAUAUUUGUUCCUCUUCUUUCUCAGUGCAGAAAAGCGGUCAAGCAGUCCUAAACUGUGAGAAGCAGAUGAUUCGAAUUGAAUUUCUUAAACUUGCAAGGUGGACCUAAACACAUGACAUAUAUGUGUACCACACUAGGUUCACAUACAUCAACCGUCCCCAUCGAUCCCCAGCACAUGUCCAGGUCCCACUUCCCUUGGAUACAA